rnacentral:snRNA from 1 species
GAAUUGAGCUCCGACGGAGA